AUGGAUAGAGAUCCCAUGGAGGCACCGACGUCUACGACGGGGGCGCUGGCUAUGCCAACGCUGGCGCCGGCGGGCAACAACAGCGGCAAGAAGGCGUCGCGGUUCAGGCGGGUAUGCGUGUUCUGUGGGAGCAGCGCAGGGAGGAAGGCGGCGUACCAGGCGGCAGCGGUGCAGCUCGGGCAGCAGCUGGUGGAGCGCGGCAUCGACCUCGUGUACGGCGGCGGCAGCGUGGGUCUCAUGGGCCUGGUGUCCCGCGCCGUGCACGGCGGCGGCGGGCGCGUCACGGGCGUGGUGCCUCGGUCGGUUCUCCCGCUGGAGCUGAUCGGCGAGACGCCCGGCGGGGAGGAGGUGAAGGCGGUGUCGGGCAUGCACCAGCGCAAGGCCGAGAUGGCCCGCCGCGCCGACGCCUUCGUCGCGCUCCCCGGCGGCUACGGCACGCUGGAGGAGCUGCUUGAGGUCAUCACCUGGGCGCAGCUCGGCAUCCACGACAAGCCGGUGGGAUUGUUAAACGUGGACGGGUACUACGACUCGCUGCUGGCGUUCAUCGACAGGGCGGUGGAGGAGGGGUUCGUGGCGCCGGCGGCGCGGCACAUCAUCGUGGCGGCGCCCACGCCCAGUGAGCUGCUCGCCGCGCUGGAGGAGUACGUGCCGCACACCACGACGCCUCCUCCGUCAAGCUCAGCUGGGAGUCGUCCGUGGACACCAUGA
rnacentral:rRNA from 1 species